UUGAGGCUAAAAUCAUCUGUUGUGGUUGUUAGGUGGCUCACAUUUCGAUCUUGCGCUUUCAGAGGGCAUAAUGAGAAAGUCGAGUCAAGGAAUAUAGGAAUUUUUCUUGAAUUGUUAGAACUUCUCGCAGGGUUCAAUCCUGAUCUUGCCAAAGUCAUUUUGGGGAAUUCUCCAUACAACUCAAAGUACACGUCUCCGGAUAUUCAAAAGGAAAUCUUGUCCAUAUAUGCAUAUAAAGUUAGGAGACAUAUCCCUGAAGAAAUUGGGGAUUCUAAAUUCUCUAUUCUAGUGGAUGAGACAUGUGAUGUGGCGAAAAGAGAACAAAUGAAAGUGGUUUUUAGAUUUAUUAAUAAAGCUGGCUUUUCACAAGAGCGGUUAUUUGAUUUGAUACAUGUGGCCAAGGAUAACACUAAGGCCAUGCCAUUGAAAGAUAAAUUGUGCUCUGCAUUAUCACUAAAUGGUUUUGAUUAUUCAGAAUCUUUGUGGACAAGGAUACGAUGGGGCUAG
rnacentral:rRNA from 1 species